rnacentral:lncRNA from 1 species
AUGUGCGUGCCCCGAGGUGGGUGCCAGUGCCGCUGGGGCGCCUGGAAGUAUUGUCUGAGUCCCCCCAGGGACGAACGGGUGCUGGAGGGAGAGGGGGCAACUACACACGUGUGUGUGUGUGUGUGCGCACAGGUGUUGCACGUGUGUGCACGGGAAGGCAUGCAAGUGUGUGUGCACGCCUGCACGUUUGCAUGCCUGUGUACAUGUGCACACGUAGGUGUGCAUGCGUGUGCCAGCUGGGCUAGUCUUGCUCGAAGAACACGACUAGAGCAAAUGCAAGAGCGGCAACAAACCCCUGGGCGUGCUCGGAGGCUCCCCUGCUCCGGCAGGUCAGGGCUCAGCACYUGCAGCUCGCCUGACAUGCCCCUUAGCAGCCCGCACGCAGCCAGGCAGUGCGGGUACACCCACACACCUGCCUGCGCACACACAGCGCACACUCACCUCUCCCAACACAGACUUCGCACAGCUAAACACGGAAAAAUGCACACACCCAGCUCCCAGCAUACACGCAUAUGCACUUACUGCUGCUCCCCAGCAAUGUAUACAGGUACAUAUGCACACACACACAACGCACACGCUCAGCCCCCUCCAAUAAUAUGCAUAUACACACAAUUGCGUUUCUGCCCGUUUGCCCACACAACUCCCCACAAUGUACGCACCCCCCCCCAGGGCGUACACACACAUGCACCCACCCUUAAGCCGUGUGCAUGCACCCACAUGCAUGCAGUGCACACUGAGCCCUCAGGUGUGCCCACAUGCAAACGUGUGCAGGGACACCACGCACACAGGCGUUCAGCUCUGCCAGGGUGCACACACGUGCUUACCUGUGGGCAGGCAUCGUGCACACACGAUGCGCGUUCGGCUCUCCCCUUGCACACGUGCACGCAUGGGCACACACGCAGAGCACACUUAGCUUUCCCUGCGCACACGCAUGCACGUAUGCACGCACACUCACACUGCGCACACACACGCAGCGACGCCCCGCUCUCCCAGAGCACGCACGGGCAGACAUGCACAGGCCCCCUGCGCGCCCGCACGUGCAAUAGGCGCGCACCUCUCGCGGGGCGCACGCACACACGCAUGUAA